rnacentral:rRNA from 1 species
UACGUAGGGAGCAAGCGUUGUCCGGAAUCAUUGGGCGUAAAGAGCGUGUAGGCGGCCCGAUAAGUCCGCUGUGAAAGUCCAGGGCUCAACCCUGGAAUGCCGGUGGAUACUGUCGGGCUCGAAUCCGGAAGAGGUGAGUGGAAUUCCUGGUGUAGCGGUGAAAUGCGCAGAUAUCAGGAGGAACACCAGUGGCGAAGGCGGUGGUCUGGGCCGGAACUGACGCUGUAGAGCGAAAGCGUGGGGAGCGAACAGG